UUGGCCAGUGUUUUGUCACAAUGACACACAA
rnacentral:piRNA from 1 species